GAUGAACGCUGGCGGCGUGCCUAAUACAUGCGAGUCGAGCGAACGGACGAGAAGCUUGCUUUUCUGAUGUUAGCGGCGGACGGGUGAGUAACACGUGGAUAACCUACCUAUAAGACUGGGAUAACUUCGGGAAACCGGAGCUAAUACCGGAUAAUAUUUUGAACCGCAUGGUUCAUAAGUGAAAGACGGUCUUGCUGUCACUUAUAGAUGGAUCCGCGCUGCAUUAGCUAGUUGGUAAGGUAACGGCUUACCAAGGCAACGAUGCAUAGCCGACCUGAGAGGGUGAUCGGCCACACUGGAACUGAGACACGGUCCAGACUCCUACGGGAGGCAGCAGUAGGGAAUCUUCCGCAAUGGGCGAAAGCCUGACGGAGCAACGCCGCGUGAGUGAUGAAGGUCUUCGGAUCGUAAAACUCUGUUAUUAGGGAAGAACAUAUGUGUAAGUAACUGUGCACAUCUUGACGGUACCUAAUCAGAAAGCCACGGCUAACUACGUG
rnacentral:rRNA from 1 species